rnacentral:lncRNA from 1 species
CAUUAUUAUGUUUGUUUCUUAGCCUCUAUAUGAGGUUGUUGAAGGUUAUCGUAGUUCCAUAUUUGGGUUUAAAGUUAACAUACAUAGACUGUACUUCCUUCAUCGGAGAGGGAGAAAAUGUUUUCCCCUCCUGUGGAAAUGUGUGAGCAUCUCCACAUCUGUGACGGAGUUACACAUGGCUUUCCCUUGAGGGUAAAUGUGUCAUCUUCAAGAUCGUACCUAUUUGCGACCCAGUUCAAUGAUUUGCAGCGAUUGUGUACUGGCUUCGUCUUCAGGAUGUCUCGCAGUCCCACCAUUCUGAUGAGGUAUGUUUGCGUACGGGAAUUGCGAGUAUAUCUGAGUUGACUGAUUUGGGAGGGAACUAAGGAAGAGCCAUAUAUCUUCGACAGGUCCACCUACGGUGCGGUAUUCAUG